AUGACCUGCAGGAUUAGACGGCUCUGGGGAUCAUCAGGCAACAUCUGGCUUCCUUUGCCUUCAGCUUCUGCAGCCUCCUGGAACCUUCAUUAUGCACAAGAUGGGCACGAUGGCACCCUGGGGAGAAGCGUUUCAGGAGUCAUUGGUCUCAGCUUCUCCCUGCAGUGCAUUCUACGUGGCGGUAAAUCAGCGUCGAUGGGAACUUGCCUUUUACCUGAUGCCCCCAAGGCCCUGUGGACUGGCUCUGCAAACCAUGGCACUCAGGACAAUCAAGCCACCCUGAGACUUAACCCUGGCCUACUGCCCGAGACUAAAAGAAAUCAGACGAGACUAACAAACUUCGGGCAGAAGCCCCUAAGAGAAAUCAGGCAGUCGAUUAAAUAAACAGUUAAAUGUGGUAGUGAUAAUAAUGGUAUUUUCUGAGCAUAACACACUGCUCUAUACCCUUGGGAAACCACACCUGAAGCAAAACACACAUCUCCUUACCAUAAGGAGCUUACAGCCUACUGGAGGAGCUAAAUAGUCAAUCCCUUCCUGGCAGAGAAAUCUGGGUUCAUGGGGGAAACUCUGGACUCUCUUAGUCUUGGAACAUGGCAAGGGGGAGGAGGAGCUGGGAAUAGGCAUGAGGGCAGCACUGGCACUGGCUAGUGGUGUAGGGGCUGGGGGAAAGGAAAUGUGGGCACCCAAUGGGAUCUCUGGCAUUCUGAGUAGGUGUGAAGAUGGCAGAGCCAUGGGGCCGGAACCUGGGAACUCAGGGCAAACAGCCAACUAAAUCACAGCAGGGAAGAGUGCAGACCUCCGGGGAGGGAAGUAGACAGGACCCCAAACCCAACCAAUGUGACAGAAGCGUCCACCCAAGCCAAAAUUCAGGAAUGCACACUAUGAUUUUAAAUUGCAUUCUGCACCUCUAAAUCCAAGGGGCGCAGAAGGAAAAGUCUUUUUUACAUACUGAAACCUAAAAGCGCUCCACUGAACACGUCGUUCUGCUUCCCGGUAAACUCUGGUGAAUUUCUGGCAAAAUAAAAUUGACUAAAUAUAGCCAAGAACCUGUUCGGAACUAGAAAGCAAACCUGGGAUUAACUGUCAGACUGGGGAAAGCAAUACCUUCAAAAUCAUACUGAGACUCGUCGAGGGGACCAGAGGAAUGGAGAAGGAACAGAAGCGGGAGGGGGUGCCCGGGGAGCCCCUAGGACGAAGCUGCCUUUCUGGGCUCGGUGUCUUAAGCGUCACCCAGAUAGAUGGCCAUCUUCCAGAGUGAAAGCUCCUUCAGGCAGGAAAUGUGCCUUGUGCUUCUGCGGUACUUUCCGAGUGUUCAGUACAGCACACGGCAUUUCUCACCCUAUUUCUCCUUUGUGCAUUGCCUAGGAACUUUCCAUAAGCACUUUCCUACACACUCCACCCAGACAGCCCUUGUGUAUAGAAACAGGAUGGUAUAGUGGAUAGAGCAUGGGCCUGGGAGUCAGAAGGUCAUGGAUUCUAAUCCCUGCUCCACCAUAUGACUGCUGUGUGUCCUUGGGCAAGUCAUUUCACUUCUCUGGGCCUCAGUUACCUCAUGUGUAAAAUGGUGAUUGAGACUGUGAGCCCCACUUGGGACAGGGACUGUGUCCAACCCGAUUUGCUUGUACCCUUCCCCACGCUUAGUACAGUGCCUGGCACUUAGUAAGGGCUUAACAAAUGCCACAAUUCUUAUUACAAUUAUUAUCCCCACACUCUGCUACUUUCCUUAUCUGUAAUUUAUUUCACCGUCUUCCCCUCUUAGACUGUUAACUCUUUGAGGCCUGGGAUCAGGUCUACCAACUCUAUGUAUUAUACUCAGUACAGUGAUCUGCCCCAGUAAGCACUCAAUAAAUACCAC
rnacentral:lncRNA from 1 species